rnacentral:rRNA from 1 species
GUGAUUAGRGUUUGAUCCUGGCUCAGGAUGAACGCUGGCGGUGUGCCUAAUACAUGCAAGUCGAGCGAGAAGUUUACUUCUAGCGGCGAACGGGUGAGUAACACGUAUCUAACCUGCCCAUCAAUCUGGAAUAACAACGAGAAAUUGUUGCUAAUGCCGGAUAGGUAAUAUUUACUUAUGUUUAUAUUAUUAAAGGAGCGUUUGCUUCGUUGAUGAAUGGGGAUGCGCAGCAUUAGGUAGUUGGUAGGGUAAAGGCCUACCAAGCCAACGAUGCUUAGCCGGCCUGAGAGGGUGAUCGGCCACACUGGAACUGAGACACGGUCCAGACUCCUACGGGAGGCAGCAGUAGGGAAUUUUCGACAAUGGGGGAAACCCUGAUCGAGCAACACCGCGUGAGGGAUGAAGGAUUUCGGUCUGUAAACCUCUGUUGUAAGGGAAGAACAAGUAGAAUAGGAAAUGAUUUUACUCUGACGGUACCUUACCAGAAAGCGACGGCUAACUUCGUGCCAGCAGCCGCGGUAAUACGAAGGUCGCAAGCGUUAUCCGGAUUUACUGGGCGUAAAGAGUCCGCAGCUGGUUUACCCAGUCUGAUGUUAAAGCCUGGAGCUCAACUCCAGUCCGCAUUGGAUACUAGUAAACUAGAGUUAUAGAGGGGCAAGUGGAAUUCCUAGUGUAUCGGUGGAAUGAAUAGAUAUUAGGAGGAACACCAGUGGCGAARGCGACUUGCUGGCUAUAAACUGACAGUCAUGGACGAAAGCGUGGGGAGCAAACAGGAUUAGAUACCCUGGUAGUCACGCCGUAAACGUUGAGUACUAGGUGUUGGGCAUAAGCUCAGUGCCGCAGUUAACGCAUUAAGUACUCCGCCUGGGUAGUAUGCACGCAAGUGUAAAACUCAAAGGAAUUGACGGGGACCCGCACAAGCGGAGGAGCAUGUGGUUUAAUUCGAGGCAACGCGAAGAACCUUACCAGGACUUGACAUACUAGGCAAAGCUAUAGAGAUAUAGUGGAGGUUAACCUAGAUACAGGUGGUGCAUGGUUGUCGUCAGCUCGUGCCGUGAGGUGUUUGGUUAAGUCCAGUAACGAGCGCAACCCCUAUUCUUAGUUACCAGCAUUUAGUUGGGGACUCUAAGGAGACUGCUAGUGCAAACUAGAGGAAGGUGGGGAUGACGUCAAAUCAUCAUGCCCCUUAUGUCCUGGGCUACACACGUGCUACAAUGGCUGAUACAAAGCGUCGCAAUACCGUGAGGUGGAGCUAAUCGCAAAAAGUCAGUCUCAGUUCGGAUCGAAGUCUGCAACUCGACUUCGUGAAGUCGGAUUCGCUAGUAAUCGCAAGUCAGCAAUAUUGCGGUGAAUACGUUCCCGGGUCUUGUACACACCGCCCGUCAAACCACGGGAGUUGGGAAUACCCAAAGUCGCUGUCCUAACAUUUGAGGGAGGCGCCUAAGGUAGGCCUGAUGACUGGGGUUAAGUCGUAACAAGGUAUCCAAUC